rnacentral:rRNA from 1 species
UACGUAAGGUGCAAGCGUUAAUCGGAAUUACUGGGCGUAAAGCGUGCGCAGGCGGUGCUGUAAGACAGGCGUGAAAUCCCCGGGCUUAACCUGGGAAUGGCGCUUGUGACUGCAGUGCUGGAGUGCGGCAGAGGGGGAUGGAAUUCCGCGUGUAGCAGUGAAAUGCGUAGAUAUGCGGAGGAACACCGAUGGCGAAGGCAAUCCCCUGGGCCUGCACUGACGCUCAUGCACGAAAGCGUGGGGAGCAAACAGG